UACGGAGGGAGCUAGCGUUGUUCGGAAUUACUGGGCGUAAAGCGCGCGUAGGCGGCUUUGUAAGUUAGAGGUGAAAGCCCGGAGCUCAACUCCGGAACUGCCUUUAAGACUGCAUCGCUUGAAUCCAGGAGAGGUGAGUGGAAUUCCGAGUGUAGAGGUGAGAUUCGUAGAUAUUCGGAAGAACACCAGUGGCGAAGGCGGCUCACUGGACUGGUAUUGACGCUGAGGUGCGAAAGCGUGGGGAGCAAACAGG
rnacentral:rRNA from 1 species